CACCAAUGGCGAAGGCAAGUUUCUGGCACCUAACUGACGCUGAGGCACGAAAGCGUGGGUAGCAAACAGGAUUAGAUACCCUGGUAGUCCACGCCCCUAAACGAUGUCAACUGGUUGUUGGGAAUUAGUUUUCUCAGUAACGAAGCUAACGCGUGAAAUUGACCGCCCUGGGGAGUACCGGCCNCAAG
rnacentral:rRNA from 1 species